rnacentral:lncRNA from 1 species
UGGCGAACCAGGCGACGUCGCGGCUGGCGGGCCACGGGAACGGGGUCCGGUACCCGCGCGGCGCCGGGACGAGGCACCGCAGCCGCUCCCGCUCCGACGCCGGGCAGUGCCGCUCCCGGUACACCAGCCGGUCCCGCGGGUACCGCAGCGACCGCUCCACGUCCUCGCACGGGGUGUACUCCGAGUACUUGACGGGGCACGCGGGGUACCUCCGCGGCGCCGCCGAGGACGAGGACGAGGACGAGGAGCCGGACGAGGCGGCGGCGGCGGCGACCGCCUCGUCCGCGGCCGCCGCGUGGUGCGCGGAGAAGUCGAGGGGCCGGGAUUGGGUGCGGGAGCGGGCGGACGAGGUCUUCUUCCUCGGGGCGGCGGUGGUGGUGCAGGCGACGGCGGUGGCGAUGGAGACGGCGGGGGACUCGGACGGGGAGGCGAAGCCGCCGUGCUGCCAGACGCCGAGGAGGUAGGAGGCGGAGCAGAGGAGGAGGACGGCCACGAACGGCAGGAACGUGGGGCGCCGGGCGGCCGAGGGCGGGAUGUGCAGCUUCGUCGCCGCCGAGCGGACCCCCAUUGCGCUGCCUGCCUG